UUGCUUUGGCAACAAAUAUACUAAAAUUGGAACGAUACAGAAAAUAUUAGUAUGGUCCCUGUGCAAAGGUAACACACAAAUUCGUGAAGCAUUCCAUAUUUAA